rnacentral:rRNA from 1 species
CCUACGGGAGGCAGCAGUGAGGAAUAUUGGUCAAUGGACGAGAGUCUGAACCAGCCAAGUAGCGUGAAGGAUGACUGCCCUAUGGGUUGUAAACUUCUUUUAUAAAGGAAUAAAACGAGGCACGUGUGCCUUUUUGCAUGUACUUUAUGAAUAAGGAUCGGCUAACUCCGUGCCAGCAGCCGCGGUAAUACGGAGGAUCCGAGCGUUAUCCGGAUUUAUUUGGUUUAAAGGGAGCGUAGAUGGGUUGUUAAGUCAGUUGUGAAAGUUUGCGGCUCAACCGUAAAAUUGCAAUUGAUACUGGCAGUCUUGAGUACAGUUGAGGUAGGCGGAAUACGUGGUGUAGCGGUGAAAUGCUUAGAUAUCACGAAGAAACCCGAUUGCGAAGGCAGCUUACUAAACUGUGACUGACAUUGAUGCUCGAAAGUGUGGGUAUCAAACAGGAUGAGAUACCCGGGUAGUC